rnacentral:rRNA from 1 species
AUUGAACGCUGGCGGCGUGCCUAAUACAUGCAAGUAACGCAGUUGAGAACGGGUGAGUAACGCGUAGGUAACUGCCUGGUAGCGGGGGAUAAAUAUUGGAAACGAUAGCUAAUACCGCAUACUACCAGAUGGACCUGCGUUGUAUUAGCUAGUUGGUGGGGUAACGGCUCACCAAGGCAACGCAACCUAGCCGACCUGAGAGGGUGAUCUGCCCCACUUGGAAUGGGGCACGGCCCAGAACUCUUCCGGAGGCAAGAGUUGGGGAACUUCGGCAAUGGGGCGAAGUCUGGCCCCGCACAGCCCCGGGAGUUGAAGAGGGUUUCGGGUCGUAAAGCUCUUUUAUGAGAGAAGCGGUAUCUUACGAGAAAGCGACGGCUAACUUCGUGCCAGUAGCCGCGGUAAUUC